GACGAACGCUGGCGGCGUGCUUAACACAUGCAAGUCGAACGGAAAGGCCCUGCUUUUGUGGGGUGCUCGAGUGGCGAACGGGUGAGUAACACGUGAGUAACCUGCCCUUGACUUUGGGAUAACUUCAGGAAACUGGGGCUAAUACCGGAUAGGAGCUCCUGCUGCAUGGUGGGGGUUGGAAAGUUUCGGCGGUUGGGGAUGGACUCGCGGCUUAUCAGCUUGUUGGUGGGGUAGUGGCUUACCAAGGCUUUGACGGGUAGCCGGCCUGAGAGGGUGACCGGACAAAAUGGGGAAGGAGAAACGGCCAGGACCCAGAGGGGAGGAAGAAGGGGGGAAUAUGGAAAAGGGGGGGGAGGAUGGAGGCAGAAAGGCGGGGGGGGGGAGGAGGGCCUUGGGUGUGAAACCGGCUUGCGCUGGGAAAGAAGGGGGAGGGAGGGUAAGGGGAAAAGAAAAACCGGAAAAAAACGGG
rnacentral:rRNA from 1 species